AAAUAUGUCUACUGUGCAAAUUAGCAGCAUAUUCCUUAGUGUCUUCCCUAAGUUUCCUCACUGAGUUUCUGUGUCAUAUUGCUUCUCCUCCUGGUGUACUCUUUUCCCACUCCUUUGCCCCAACCACAUACACACUAGGUUUUAGAGCAGCAGCUUCUAGCCCAUUUUCACAGUCUCUGGUCCUGGCAGAACACCUGUUGAAUCUUUGGUCUUUAUAUCACAACCUUUCGUUCAUUCAUCUAAUCCAAAGAAUAUUUUAUAUGCCAGACAUUUUGCUAGAUAGCGAAGAUGUGUCAUAAAUAAAAGAGAAGAGCCCUGUUCAACCUCUCCACCCAAUUGUGGGAGAAAUUGACAUUAAAUAAAUAAUAGCUGAUUAUUUUGUUAAAAUUAUAAUAGUGUUACAUAGGAGAAGUCACUGUGUCUCAGGAGUGUAGAACGGGGAAACUAAUUAGUCAGUGAUUGUGUGAGAGGAGUGUUAGGGAAGACCCCUCAGAGGAAAUGAUAUUUUCUUAGACUUUAAAAGAGGAUGAAGAGUUGUCUAGUUGAAGAUAAAGUGGGGUGAUGCCUAAUAUAUUGCUCAAUAAAUAUUUUUUUAAUGGAUUUGUAAACAAAACUUCCAGAAAGAAUUAUGGGUAUUGAUUAUAUGCUAAUCAUAGUAGUCAGCAUGUAUAAGAAGGUAAAAACUACAUAUAUUUUAGGACCAGGCAGCUCUUAUUCAUUCUGGCAGUGACAUGGAAGUGAGAAAGGCCAGCUGACCUAAAGAGAUCAAACUUUUGACCUUGCCCUCUUUAAUCCAGGACCCUAAACCACUGUGGUAACUAGACAAUUGUGAUAUAUGAAUACUUUGAAAACCUUAAAAAUGAAGAACAUUGAGUCUUUCAUGAAAAUACUCCUGAUCACAGUGUUUGCAUUACAAACUGAAAUCCAGUGGAAUAAACCCUGGUGGGCCUAUGUGGUAAAACUAUCAUAUUUUUCCUAAUGACUGUGCAAACUCAUUAUAAAAUCAUAAUUUUGAGGUUUCAUACCCAUCAUGAGUCAAGAUAGGUUAGUUUUGGCAAAAUACAUCUUCUUGGCUUUAGAGACUGUGAUCCAUCUUUGUGGCAUCAAAGAAGGGCAGCAUAAGUGUUGACUGGAAUCCCAAACUUUUCACCUCCCUUUGAUGCCAAGCCAAGCCUAAGCUUUCAUCAAAAGUACAUAAAUUCUUUUAUAUGGUGUAAUUAGGAGUUUGUAGCAUAAUUUGCAACAGAGGUUGCUUUACUUGCAUGCUUUUUCCCUUCCUGGAUCUUUUUCCCUGACCUGAGAGAAUGAAAAUAAAUCUCACAUCAUCUUCACCAAUUUUCUCUUCAUCCCACCUGGAUGUGCUUCCUCUUAGGUUACCAACUGCCCAACAGAUACGUCAACUGCAAGAUGUUCUAUCAAGCAAUUCACUACUUCCUCCCUUCUCAAUCUUCAGGCUCUGCAUAUGGAAAUGAACAUUUCAUUAUGACCCUAUGACCUACAAAGCUCCCUCUCUGUCACUCCUUAUCAUCUUUCCUAGGGAGGCAAUCAAAAUGAAAUGAUUUUAAGAUUCUAGCACUCCCAACUCUAAGUCACAUGAUUUGAAGAGAAGAUCAUUCGGAGCAGUGGAAAAAUGAAAUCAAACAUAGCUGCUACCUCAGAUUGAAGAGAUGUCCUCUCCGAUUCUUUAAAGUAUUUCCUAUUCUCCUACCCACCUCCUCUGUUGUUUGCAAGACUCAAAAAGAUAAAUUUAUAGUGAAAUAAGAAUCCUCCAACUUACAUAUUAGAGCUUCUGCAAUUAAAGAAAAACAGAAAUCAGGCUGGGCGCAGUGGCUCACGCCUGUAAUCCCAGCACUCUGGGAGGCCAAGGUGGGUGGAUCACCUGAGGUCAGGAGCUUGAGACCAGCCUGGCCAACAUGGCAAAACCCCAUCUUUACUAAAAAUACAAAAAUCAGCUGGGUGUGGUGGUGGGUGGCUGUAAUCCCAGCUAUUCAGGAGGCUGAGUCAGGAGAAUCCCUUGAACCCAGGAGGCAGAUGUUGCAGUGAGCCGAGAUGGCACCACUGCACUCCAGCCUGAGUGACAGAGUGAUACUCUGUCUCAAAAAGAAAAAAAGAAAAAGAGAAAUCUAUGGGUGAAGACAAAUGGAAUGGCAAUACCUUGGAGUAGCAUUUACUAAUUCAAGCCAUAUAAACCAUACUAAGGUUGUCAGCCCAGAGGGGAGUCCAUCUGCUAUGUAGAUGAGAGAAUGCGACCAGGAAAGUCAGGACACAAAGCCAUGAUUCUUUCAACUUUUUGGCACUUUAAUAAGUGAAUUGCAUGUCCUGUCUUCUCCAUGAACUCAGCAAAGCUACAACUAAGCUCCUCAUCUUGAGAGUUCACCAUGUGCCCACUUUGACCUAUGGAUGGGCCCCUUGGCACUCUACCUUUUCAGUGUCCUCAACUGCACAAACUUCCUGGGCUGCACUGACUGCUGUACCCAGGCAAUUUUUUGGGAGCUCCAAUGUCUUGUCUAGCACAUGACAUGAGGCUGUAGCAUGUUCUUUCAAGUAUUAGUGCUAAAGAGGUCCCAUUCUACUUUCUCUGACUGAUCAGGUCACUGUUUUCAGCUACCUGGCCCUUCUAAGUCAGGGUCACUAGAGUAUUGGGAGGUUUGUAACUUCUUCAUUGGUGUCUUGUGUUUUCCUGUCUUUGAACUUGAGGAAAGCUGGCCCUGGAUGUUCACAACAUCAACCAAGCAAUGAAAACCACAGCACCCUACAGGAAAUUCUGCAUUUCUCUCAAAACAUGCAAAACACAAAAUUGGGUGGAACCACAGAAGGUUAUGGAUAACUCACUACAGUUUGGACUUUCAAAGGCCCUGGGAAAACUAUCCUACUUUUGUGAGAUACUAUUGUUCUACCUGUAAUGCAAGUGAACAGAUCUUAAUAAGGACAAAUAACAAUUUUUUAAAUGUUUACCAUAUUUUCUCAUUUGUUCCUUUCAUCAAGCAUCCAACCUGCCAGUCAGCCCCCAAAAAAAGAGAAUGGGAGAAGAAAAAAGGUUCUUCACACUCUAUAUCAGGUUCCCUAGUCUAGAGAAAUAUAAAGGGGAAAUUUUGUCCAAAAGCAGUCAUUUCAUGAUUUAUGUAAUAGAGAUGCUCCAACCAAGGACACCAUAAAACCAAUUUGUGUAAAGCAGGUUUUAUGUAUAUCCAUCAGAAAACUCCUCUAAAUGCUUCAACUAAAAUUGAGAGGUAGUUGAAGGAUUUUGCUUUCUCCUCUAUAGAGUGAGAGGUUAUAUUAAUAUUCCUUCUAAUAUUUUGUGCUUUUGCAUUGGAAGCUAACUCAGUGCCUGGGUAUUAGAACAAACCAGCAGAAUUUCUCUGGUAGGAACUUUCUGCCCAGAGACCUCUGUUCUAUUGCUUUUCCCUUGCUGUUACUCACAACCGCGUGUAACAAUCUCAUACCUUAGUUCUCUUCUUUUUUCCUGAUAUUUAGAAUGCCUAGUAGAGCCGCAAAUGGCAUGUCAUAUUUUGUCAGGAGAUGGCAUUGACUAAUGUGUGCAGAAAACACCCCUGAGUUAGAUACUUUGAGUCAUGUACGAUGACCAGUUCAGUAUUUAACACUUGACAAAGCUCAAAGCUGUUUACAUGAAAUGUAUAUUUUUGGCUUCUGGUAGUCUAUGCUGCUAUUACGGAAGGUUAUAGUUAGCAGGUUUAAGAAAUAUUUUUUUGGGCUUUCUAGAAUGAAUAAUUUGAAUGGUACCAGCAGCAAUUCUUUGUGAGCUGAAGGCUUGAUGCAGUCUCUUAGGACCUGUCCUUUUAGAAGUAAGAGCGGGUUCUUAGAGGCCACAUCCUGCCUUUCAGAUAGAGAUAUCAGCUUCUACCAGGAAUAGUUCCUUUCAUACUACACUUAAGUAGGCAGUGAGAAUAAUCAGCACGAUUGAAACUACCUUUGCAAAAUUAUGACUGAGACAGCGAAAGAGAUCUAACUUAACUGACUCCAUCUUGCUUCUAACCUCCAUGCUGUCUUUUUCAUUCCUGGGCGUAGGACGAACUAACUUUGAGAGAAAUUUAGUUUAUAGUUUAAAAAAAAAGAUGGUAACAGCCCUUUCCCAAAGCAGACCUCCUUCUUGCCUGGGGACUAGACCAAUAUUAGCCAGAAGGUUAGAAAUUACGGUUUAGGAGUCAUGCAGCUGGAGGCUAUAAGAAUCUGACUCCCUAAACUGCUCCUAAGAUCAGUGCUUGAGAUACUUUGCAGACCCUGCACUUGAUGGAUCAGCUGGCACCACCCAAAUCAAUAAACCGGCUCAUCUGAUCUUGUGGCACCCACCCAAGAACUGACUCAGCACAAGGAGACAGCUUCGACUCCCUGUGAUUUCAUCCCUGUCAACCAGCACUCCUGGCUCACUGGCUUCCCCCCACCCAACCAAGUUAUCCUUAAAAACUCUGCUCCCUGAAUGCUCAGGGAGUUUGAUUUGAAUAAUAAUAAAACUCCAGUCUCCUGCACAGCCGGCUCUAUAAAUUACUCUUUCUCUAUUGCAAUUCCCCUGUCUUGAUGAAUCGGCUCUGUCUAGGCACCGGGCAAGGUGAACCCCUUGGGUGGUUACACUAGCAUUGGUUUUUGUUUGCCACUGCAGCAUUAAUUAUGUGUUUUUUAUGGCAAUAGAAAUUUUUUUUUACUGCCUUUCCUCAAUGUUACAUGAAGACAUAUUUCACAAGUAGGCCAAGUACAAAGUAGGAAUAGAAGCUAGAAUGGAAUCAUAGACCAGAUUCUUACAUAGAUCACAUCAGCCAGGCUGAGGCUCCAUCUGUGUGCAUGGCACGGCACAGCUGCGUUGGUUGCUUAUAGCUAGCAUCUGUUCUGAUUGGUUGGUGCCUGUGGCUUUUCAGUUGCUCAGAGUUUUGAAUACCAACCCUGGGUACACAGUUAUCUCUGAAAGCUAAAAUGGUGAAAUAUAACACAUAAUGAAUGCAAUGAGCCAGCUCUAGACACAACCAAGAGAAUUCCCGUAACUGGGAACCUGAGAAAGUAUAAAAGCACUUAAUUGAAGGUGUAAAUGAGAGAAAGCAGGUUUGAAAUGCAACCAAAACAAAGCCCACACAUAGACAACUGUAUUUAUAAGUUGUUUCUAAAUGGGAAUGGAACGGUGUUUUUCCGGGAAUCUAGGGAACAGUCUCUCUACGGCGACUUUUCUCAUGUGAGAAAACAGACAUUUAGCAGAAAACCAGAAAAUGUUCAUUGGCUUCGGUGAACUUUUAUUCCAAGUUUCAAUGAGGGACCCUGUGCAGAGGCUUGGGACACGGAGACCUCCCUCUGCUGCCUUUAAGGAAGGUCAUUAAAAAAAAAAAAAUUCCGUUUUUUUUUUUUUUUUAAAGACGGAGUCUCGUUCUGUCGCCAGGCUGGAGUGCAGUGGCCUGAUCUCGGCUCACUGCAACCUACGCCUCCCAGGUUCAAGAGACUCUCCUGCCCCAGCCUCCUGAGUACCUGGGACCACAGGCGCCCGCCACCACGCACAGCUAAUUUUUGUAUUUUUAGUAGAGAUGGGGUUUGAGCAUGCUGGCCAGGAUGGCCCCGAUCUCUUGACCUCGUGAUCCGCCCGCCCCAGCCUCCCAAAGUGCUGGGAUUAUAGGCGUGAGCCACCGCCCUUCUAACUUUUCUAUUGUACCACACUGAUGGCAAGGAAGGGCGGUAGGAAAGCCUGCCAAGGAAAGGGAGGACCGGCCUGCAUAUUCUUAAGCGCUGUGGGACACUGUUCUGUAGACGUUGCCCAUCCCAUUGCUCUCUCAGGGAGGGAUGAGCCACGGCCAGGAGCAGCUCCUGGUCAUCUACUGUACCACGUGUGCAGAGGGAAGACACACUCCCAGAGAAGAAAAUGCUGGGAAAAAGAGACCACAGCCUUUGUAUGGUGGCUCAAUGUAAGUACUUCUUGACAUGUCCAGUUGUACAGCUCCUCUUUGGGGUUGGAGCGCUUUGCUUUCCAGGGUGUAGAUUGGGGUCUGGGGAAGUGGUGAAGUGGAGUGAAACUGGAGGCCUGGAGCUCCCCCUAGAGGCCAAAUGUAUUUUACCCUGACUCAAGAAAACCUGGAGCUGGAAGCUUGGCUCAUCAAACCUAAAGUAAGAGUAAGAAUCAGCAGUAUUGUCGGCACUACCCCGGGAAGGGAGAGAUACUAAACCUAGUGAACAGUGCAGGUCCGGAAUCCUUUAUGUGAAGUUCUAAAACUCAAAAAACUUUGAAAAUGGAAACUCUUUUGAGACCUAUUUGGCAACAACGUUUACCUGCAAUAUGAGGACAUAGUCUUUAUUAUCUUAAUGUGAGUAUUUUUAUCUUUUAUGACAGAUAUAUUAAUUAAUGUGUUUAAUCAUGAGAGGCUGCCCAUAUUCCUAGUAGGAACGUUAAAAGGUAGAGUACCCACUAGGGGUGUUUUAAUGUACAGUAUAUGAACUGUUUACUUCUCUCAAAUCUUAAAAAUUCAGAAAUCUGAACUACAUCUGGCCCCAAUCAGCCAAAGGACUAUAGGCCUGGGUAUUAUAAUGCUCACUACUGUGUGGGCCUCAAUCACAGCUCAACCUGUGCCAUGUGACUUUCAACAAGUGACUCACUGGCUAGAAGGCUCAGCUUCUUCUUUAGUAAGAUGGAAAUAUCACUAGUUUAGAUAUUAAAUGAGUUUAUGCACCGUGUUCAGCCCAGGACCUGGCAAAUAGUAAACAUCUAAGAGUGUUAGUGAUUAUUAUCAUACUUUGUUAUUAUUACUUGAUCUGAGAGAGUGCAUACCUCACUUUACUCUGAUUCACAGUCACCAAAGAGUCAUUUGACUACCAGCCACCAGGCCCACUAUUACCAGGAAGGUGGAAUCUUGAAAGACGAACAUGAGCUUUUGGGCCACUGAUGAUCCAUUAUAAAUCAAUAAUUUGAUAUUCUAGAUCCUAUCUCAAUCUCUUGAAUAUCUAGAAAAAUCAAAUCAAACAAAAAUCAGAGAUACUCUUGGUUCUGAGACACACCUAUACACCUAAAACCUUACUGGUUGCAAGCAGGCUUAAGUUACAGACAGCCAGACAGCCAAGAGCAUUUUGAAGGUGGGAAAACUAAGGCAAAGAAAUAGAAUGAUUUUUUUUGACAUGAGCACAAUAAUUGUAUGUGGGUCUUGGCUAAUGGUUUGUGAUUAGUUUACAAUGAUCCAAGAAUCUAGAAUAAGAUUUUCUUUUCUUUUCUUGUCUUGUCUUGUCUUUUCUUGACAUGCAGCCUCACUCUGUUCCCCAGGCUGGAAUGCAUUGGCACUAUCUCGGCUCACUGCAACCUCUGCCUCUUGGGUUCAAGUGAUGCUCCUGCUUCAGCAUCCCUGAGUAGCUGGGACUACAGGCAUGUGCCACCACUCCCAGCUAAAUUUUGUAUUUUUAGUAGAGACAGGGUUUUGCCGUGUUGGCCAGGCUGGUCUCAAACUCCUGACCUCAGGUGAUCUGCCUGCCUUGGCCUCCCAGAGUGCUGGGAUUACAGGUGUGAGCCACUGCACUUGGCCUAGAAUAAAAUUUUCUAAAAUGUUGUACAUAAAAUACUAGUGCUGCAAGAGGUUCUUUGAAUAAAAAAUUUCCCCAAAUUAUUUAAAAAUGAAACCCUUCUUUCAGGGAAUAUUUAUUAACACCCACAGAAUUUGGGUUAGAUAGAGUGUACCUGGGGAAAUACUGUUUUAGAGAGUAUCAACUUCUGUAUAUAAUUCAGGUAGAUAAUUCUUGGCUAUUGGGUAAUUUCAAG
rnacentral:lncRNA from 1 species